rnacentral:misc_RNA from 1 species
GAUCCCACGCCACACACCAAGCAGAAUAUCCAAAGCUACGACCCGUCAGCCUCGUAGACGCUCUUGCCAAUGACGAUGGUGCCGAUGAACCAGCGCCGCUGGCCGCUGGCAGCGCUUAGACACCGCGCCAUCAUAGCUAUCACUGUCGCAGUUUUCCUCGUGGCGGCCGUGCUCACUGUUUACUUCUGGCCCCGGUCGACUAAAGCAGUCGUUCAACAGCGGGUUGCGAUUCCGGUGAGUCUCACUCCCGUACAGAACGCUAAGGAGAAGGGAGCCGUUUGCUUGGACGGAAGCACGCCGCAAUAUCAUCUCGACCCGGGCUCCGGCACCGGUGCCGACAGUUGGCUGCUGCAUCUUGAGGGCGGAGCCUGGUGCGGUACAGUGGAAUCAUGCUUGGAG